rnacentral:rRNA from 1 species
UACGUAGGGUGCAAGCGUUAAUCGGAAUUACUGGGCGUAAAGCGCGCGUAGGUGGUUUGGUAAGCGAGAUGUGAAAGCCCCGGGCUUAACCUGGGAACGGCAUUUCGAACUGUCAGACUAGAGUGUGGUAGAGGGUAGUGGAAUUUCCUGUGUAGCGGUGAAAUGCGUAGAUAUAGGAAGGAACACCAGUGGCGAAGGCGGCUACCUGGACCAACACUGACACUGAGGUGCGAAAGCGUGGGGAGCGAACAGG